CACGUAGGGCGCGAGCGUUGUCCGGAAUUAUUGGGCGUAAAGAGCUCGUAGGCGGCCUGUUGCGUCCGCUGUGAAAGCCCGGGGCUUAACCCCGGGUCGGCAGUGGAUACGGGCAGGCUAGAGGUAGGUAGGGGAGAAUGGAAUUCCCGGUGUAGCGGUGAAAUGCGCAGAUAUCGGGAGGAACACCGGUGGCGAAGGCGGCCAACUGGACGAAUACUGACGCUGAGACUCGAAAGCGUGGGGAGCAAACAGG
rnacentral:rRNA from 1 species